rnacentral:tRNA from 14 species
GGAGAGGUGGCCGAGUGGUCGAAGGCGCGCCCCUGCUAAGGGCGUAGGCGGGUAACUGUCUCGAGGGUUCGAAUCCCUUCCUCUCCGCCA